CCACUUAAAAAAAAUGAUAGCCCAUGGUCCCUCUAAUAAGCAAUAUGCCAGCAAGAGUUGACAAAGUUUUUAAUUUCUAAAGUCUUUGAUCUAAGAGUAUGACAUUCCCCUCCUCGGAUCCCGUUUUGAUCAAGCAAUAAAUGCAAAGUAAGAAUGCUUGAGAAUUUUUGCAAAAUUAAAACAGCCUCAGUGAGAUAUAUAAAAGAUAAUGAGUGAUCUGAGAGAACCUAUGAGGAUAAAAAGGUAUGCUAACUUUCUUUCAAAAA
rnacentral:lncRNA from 1 species